GCUUCUUGAUCUUGUGGAGAGUCCAGACUAUAAACUGGAGACUCUGAGGUGGUGGUAAACAGGAGGAUGAGCUGUGUCCUGAUGAUCCAGAGGUUGACGCAGCAGCAGCAGCAGCUUGUGUGGACAGAGACUCUGACUGCAGAUAAAUGCUGAUGUUGAUGAAGAAGUGAGCAGCUCAGUCA